GAAACAGAACACAGGAGAAGACAAAUAAUGUCUGGACAAGGGAGAGAAUCCUGGGAAGAGGAGCAGACCUAAGGAGAGGAGCAGGAUGCACCGUCUUCCUCCCUCUGGGGGAAGGGGAAAGAUCCUCAAUGUUGAUCAAGAGCCCGCCAUUGUUGAACCGGUCAUUGCUAAUGAUGCUAUCAAACUACGUGAAAUUCAGACCAGAUCUGUGGAAGACCAUGAAAUAUUUGACACUGUGGACAGCAUCAGCCAGACAGCCACUGCUCAGACUCUGCCCAAACAGUUCCAAAGAAGCAACUCUACACUGUUCUCUUUGAAAGUAACAGUGAGCAGGACAAGGAACUCCGGAAGCAGUAUGUCCAGAGAGCUAUGGAGUUGGAGGCUAAUGAGACCCCACAUGAAUUUAUCUAUGCUGACCAGGCAGGGUUCAAUCUGGCCAAAAGGUGUCAACGAGGACAAAAUAUAAUUGGAAAAAGGGCCACAGUCGAGGUCAGAGAGGAGCAAGCAUCACAAUGUGUGCUGCAAUUUCAAGCACUGGAUUGAUCCUUCAUAGAUGCCAGGUUGGACCCUACAAUACUGAGCACCUCCUUGUGUUUCUGCAUGAACUCCACCAACACCUGGUACCAGAGGCAGAAAGGGACCAGGUGGGAGCGAACAUGAGGACCUUUGUGAUCACUUGGGACAAUGUUGCUUUCCACCACUUGCAAGCCGUCACCACGUGGGUUGAAGCCCAUCCAAGAAUGGUACCUCUUCCCCCCCCCUACUCGCCUUGCCUAACUCUGGUAGAAGAGUUCUUUUCUGUGUGGAGGUGGAAAGUUUAUGAUCAUCAGCCACAUGACCAUAUGUCCCUCUUUGAUGCUAUGGAUGCUGGCUGUGUCAAAGCUGAAGACUGCCAGGGGUGGAUCGGACACUCCAAGCGGUUUUAUUCCCAGCCUUUUGCUUUAGAUGACGUCAGAUGCGAUGCUGAUGAGAACAUGAAGAUUGCAGAGAUUAGAAAACUGCAUUUUUUUUGUUCUUUUCUUCUGUGCCUUUUUGUUACUGUUUUUUGUGUGUACAUUUCAUGGAUAUUUUGUUAAUUGGCAGCAGUCUUCUCAUUUCCUGUUUUUUUUGAAAAUUGAUUUGUUUUUGAUUGGCUUAGAAUCCAAACAUUAGAUGCUGACAUUCAGAUCCCAGAGAAAUGUGGUGUUCUGCAAGGACACUGAAUUACACAAAUAGUGAUUAGUAUAUUUUGUUUGCAGGCAGCUGUAAAACUGAAAUAUAUAAAUCCAUACAGUUUUUGUAAUGCCAGCAAUUGCUAGUAUUUUGAAAG